GCCGUUCCGGGAAGCCGGCCUUCCGGAGGCCGCGCGGCGGCCACGGCCUUGCCAAGGGCGCGGGGCGUGGGCCAGGCCCAGCGGGCGGCCUCCGGGCGGGGUAGCUCGCGCUGGGCGCGUCCCCUAGCACUAAACGCUUCCAGGCGCGGCUCUGCAGGGUUAAAAGACCCUGGAAGAGGCCCGGCUGGAACCAGAGAAGAAAAGCAGAGGGAUGUGUUCUCUGAGUCUGGGAGUUGGUCAAACUGGUUCUCCAUUCCUGCGAUGACCUGGGAGCUGGGAGCCGCCUGGAGAGGAAGAAGCAGUCCCUGCCAGGGCCUUGGAAACCCUGAGUAACGGACAGGGGAGCCAGUGCCCUGCUCCACCCAGGGAUAGCUGCUGUCUGCAGCACAGAGCUCGAACCACACACGUGGGAGGAAUGGAUUUCUUAAACAGAUGCUGAAAGGAAGCCCAGAUUCUGAAGCUGGAAAGAGCAAAAAAUAGGAUAUUAUUUGAAAUGUAAUAUUGUAUUAU